UACGGAGGGUGCAAGCGUUAUCCGGAUUUACUGGGUUUAAAGGGUGCGCAGGCGGAUAUGUAAGUCAGUGGUGAAAUCUCCGGGCUUAACCCGGAAACUGCCGUUGAUACUAUAUAUCUUGAAUGCUGUGGAGGUAAGCAGAAUAUGUCAUGUAGCGGUGAAAUGCUUAGAGAUGACAUAGAAUACCUAUUGCGAAGGCAGCUACUAAGCAGAUAUUGACGCUCAUGCACGAAAGCGUGGGGAUCAAACAGG
rnacentral:rRNA from 1 species